rnacentral:rRNA from 1 species
UAGGGGUGAAAUUCCAAUCGAACGCGGAGAUAGCUGGUUCUCCCCGAAAUAGCUUUAGGGCUAGCCUGAGGUAGUAAGUAUAGGCGGUAGAGCACUGAUCGGGCUAGGGGCCGUAAAGGUUACCGAACCCUGUCAAACUCCGAAUGGAUAUACUGUAGAGCCUUGGAGUCAGACUACGAGUGAUAAGAUCCGUGGUCAAAAGGGAAACAGCCCAGACCACCAGCUAAGGUCCCCAAUGUCGUACUAAGUGGAAAAGGAUGUGGGGUUUCAUAAACAACCAGGAUGUUGGCUCAGAAGCAGCCACCAUUUAAAGAGUGCGUAAUAGCUCACUGGUCGAGAGACCCUGCGCCGAAGAUUCCCGGGGCUAAAGUACGAAACCGAAGCUGUGGCUGUAUACGUAAAGUAUACGGGGUAGGGGAGCGUUCCCAUAGGGUAGAAGUCGAACUGGAAGGUUCGGUGGACUUGUGGGAAGUGAGAAUGUUGGUAUGAGUAGCGAAAAGAAAGGUGAGAAUCCUUUCCACCGAAAGCAUAAGGAUUCCUGAGCAACGAUCGUCGUCUCAGGGUAAGUCGGGACCUAAUCCGAGGCAGAGAGCGUAGGAGAUGGACAACUGGUUGAUAUUCCAGUACCGGUAGUAAUUGUUUGAGCAAUGGAGUGACACAGAAGGGCAGGCAAGCAUGCGAAUGGAAGAGCAUGUGUAAGCGUGUAGGGUGGUGCAUAGGCAAAUCCGUGCACUGAAAGCCUGAGGCGUGAUGCGGAGUGAGCAGAGAUGCGAGCGAAGUUGUUGACCCCACACUGUCGAGAAAAGCUUCUAGUGAGAGAGCUACCGCCCGUACCGUAAACCGACACAGGUAUGCGGGGAGAGAAUCCUAAGGUGCGCGGGAGAACCCUCGUUAAGGAACUCGGCAAAAUGUACCCGUAACUUCGGGAUAAGGGUAGCCACUGUUGUGAAGUCCCAUGCGGAUGGAGCAUAGAGUGGUCGCAGAGAAGAGGCCCAAGCGACUGUUUACCAUAAACACAGGUGCCUGCUAAAGCGAAAGCUGACGUAUAGGUGCUGACACCUGCCCAGUGCCGGAAGGUUAAGGAAGGAUGUUCGGAUUAGUCCAAAGCAUUCGACUGAAGCCCCGGUGAACGGCGGCCGUAACUAUAACGGUCCUAAGGUAGCGAAAUUCCUUGUCGGGUAA